rnacentral:rRNA from 1 species
UAGGGAAUAUUGGACAAUGGGGGCAACCCUGAUCCAGCCAUGCCGCGUGAGUGAAGAAGGCCCUCGGGUUGUAAAGCUCUUUCGCCAGGGAAGAUAAUGACGGUACCUGGAUAAGAAGCCCCGGCUAACUUCGUGCCAGCAGCCGCGGUAAUACGAAGGGGGCUAGCGUUGUUCGGAAUUACUGGGCGUAAAGCGCACGUAGGCGGCUUUCCAAGUUGGAGGUGAAAUCCCUGGGCUUAACCUAGGAACUGCCUCCAAGACUGGGAAGCUCGAGUCCGAGAGAGGUGAGUGGAAUUUCCAGUGUAGAGGUGAAAUUCGUAGAUAUUGGAAAGAACACCAGUGGCGAAGGCGGCUCACUGGCUCGGUACUGACGCUGAGGUGCGACAGCGUGGGGAGCAAACA